rnacentral:rRNA from 1 species
CAAUAGCGUAUAUUAAAGUUGUUGCAGUUAAAAGCUCGUAGUUGGAUUUCGGAGUGGGCCCAGUUGGUCCGCCGCAAGGUGUGUUACUGACUGGUUUUGCUCUUCUUCGCAAAGACUGCGUGUGCCCUUAAAUGAGUGUGCGUAGAAUUUUACGAUCAGUUUACUUUUGAAAAAAUUUAAGAGUGUUCAAAAGCAGGCUAUUGCUUGAAUACAUGAGCAUGGAAUAAUGGAAUAGGACUUUGGUCCCCAUUUUUGUUGGUUUCUAGGGCCGAAGUAAUGAUUAAGAGGGACAAUUGGGGGCAUCCGUAUUUCGUUGUCAGAGGUGAAAUUCUUGGAUUUACGAAAGACGAACAACUGCGAAAGCACUUGCCAAGAGUGUUUUCAUUAAUCAAGAACGAAAGUUAGAGGAUCGAAGA